GGAACACUGAUUGACCAAUAAACCACCUUCCAUAUAACUGGGCUUUAAUAUUAAGAAUAUGAGCUCCUGAAAAGCAAAGCCUAUCUGGAUUUCCUAUUUGUCUUCCUAGCACUUAGCCAAGUGAUUUGCACAUGCAACAAAUCACAGAGGACUGGUGCUGUCAUUCUAGGAACGGUCCAUAAAUCAACUGAGCAAGAACUAAAUAUCUACUAACUGGCAGUGUAAUAGGGGAUAUAAAAACAAAAUCUCUUUCCCUUUAAGAAGCUUGAGUGGAAGGGGAGAUAAGGAAGGUUGUGCCUGUGGACAAAGAAAAGAGCAAAUAAAAGAUGUACACAAUAAAUAGUCAUUUCAAGAAUAGGGAACUAACACAAGCUCAUGAAAGAUUUUCUGGAGAACCCAAGUUGAAAUGAGAUAGGAGAACAUUCUGGGCACCAGGAACAGAGCCUAAAGAUCAAGGAAACCAUAAACUUUUUGUGAGGGAGAAUAAGACAUAGUCAACCUAAAAAUAUUACAAUGAGAUUGAAGAGUUUUGUUAAAGAAGCCACUUAAGCUUCUUGUCCAUAAAUCAUUGACAUUGUGAGACUACUUGGCAAAUAUGGGAAGGAUAGACUGAAGAAAGAUAUUGGAGUCAGGGAGACCAAUUGGGGAAUAGUGCACAAUAGUUCCCUGUGGGAAACAAGGAAGGCUUGAUUAAAGGUGAUAAUGGCAUAAGUGGUAAGAAGAAGAUAAAUCACAGGUAGAGGAGAUAAAGAGAAGUAAACCUCAAAGAAGAAAUCCUGCUUUUGGUUUUUCUGUUUGUUUGGGAGAGGAAGGGGUAAUUGUUCAGAACUGUAAAUUCUGAAGAUAAAAUCUGAACCUAUGGAAGCUCACACAAAACAAUCUAGAAUAUAAAAAAGAGAAUAAAGCCUCUGUAUACAGAGGGCAGAAUAAACUCAGAACUAGCCAGGCAAGCAGAACCACAAAAAGCAGUUGUUAGGAAGCUCCAGGGAGAAGAGGAAUACCUAGAAGAGGUGGUAACAAAAUAUAAGCUCCAACAACGGAAAUCAAGCAGCACUGGGAAUAGGGAAUGGGGGGAGGGAAAAGACUUAGCAGUAAGAAAAAAGAUCACUAAAGAUCCUUAAGAAAACAGUUUCAUUUGAGGAAGUACAAAGAGAAAUCCAAUUGCAAAAAGUUUGAGAGCUGACAGAAUAGACUGAUAUGAAUUUAAGUUCCAAUAAGCAAAAAUUAGUUUAGAGCCAAAGUGUGAUUCUGAUUAGGAUGACAUGUAAUCAGACCUUCCAUUGCUUCAAACUUCUUAGUAAUAAUCAUCUUUUUAUUUUUAAAAAAGUAUUCAUUUUAACAAAGCCUGGAACUACAAAUUAAUGAUGCUUCACAGACAAUGUCAGGUCAUUUCAGAUUUCCCAUCAAGAGCAAACAAGUUCCGAAACAAGAACUUGCUAAACCAAAGCCAGAUUAUAUGGAAUUUUAUAGCUAAAUUCUAAGGUGUUCAAUGAGGUUAAAUAACUUUCUUUGAGCUCUAUCCAGGUCUAUCCCACAUUCUAAAUUGCAAUGUUUUCCCCUAAGCAUUCAAGAGUUAAAGGACUGGCAAGUUCUUUAUGAAGUUAGUAUCAGAGGAGGAAAAUAAAACUAAGACUUUAUGACUCUAUCCCUUAUUCAAACUCUAAGGAAGGAAACACUAUUCAAGUUAUUGUGU